rnacentral:rRNA from 1 species
UCGCUGUGAAGAUGCAGUGUACCCGCGGCAAGACGGAAAGACCCCGUGAACCUUUACUAUAGCUUGACACUGAACAUUGAGCCUUGAUGUGUAGGAUAGGUGGGAGGCUUUGAAGUGUGGACGCCAGUCUGCAUGGAGCCGACCUUGAAAUACCACCCUUUAAUGUUUGAUGUUCUAACGUUGACCCGUAAUCCGGGUUGCGGACAGUGUCUGGUGGGUAGUUUGACUGGGGCGGUCUCCUCCUAAAGAGUAACGGAGGAGCACGAAGGUUGGCUAAUCCUGGUCGGACAUCAGGAGGUUAGUGCAAUGGCAUAAGCCAGCUUGACUGCGAGCGUGACGGCGCGAGCAGGUGCGAAAGCAGGUCAUAGUGAUCCGGUGGUUCUGAAUGGAAGGGCCAUCGCUCAACGGAUAAAAGGUACUCCGGGGAUAACAGGCUGAUACCGCCCAAGAGUUCAUAUCGACGGCGGUGUUUGGCACCUCGAUGUCGGCUCAUCACAUCCUGGGGCUGAAGUAGGUCCCAAGGGUAUGGCUGUUCGCCAUUUAAAGUGGUACGCGAGCUGGGUUUAGAACGUCGUGAGACAGUUCGGUCCCUAUCUGCCGUGGGCGCUGGAGAACUGAGGGGGGCUGCUCCUAGUACGAGAGGACCGGAGUGGACGCAUCACUGGUGUUCGGGUUGUCAUGCCAAUGGCACUGCCCGGUAGCUAAAUGCGGAAGAGAUAAGUGCUGAAAGCAUCUAAGCACGAAACUUGCCCCGAGAUGAGUUCUCCCUGACUCCUUGAGAGUCCUGAAGGAACGUUGAAG